UCUUAAACCCGAUUGGAGCGAAAAUACUUUUUGCAGCAGGUCUUCGACAAGUUCGAACUAACAAUAUCAAAAAGAUUGAAGCAAAAAGCGGGACUACUA
rnacentral:sRNA from 1 species